UGGGGAAUAUUGCACAAUGGGCGCAAGCCUGAUGCAGCCAUGCCGCGUGUAUGAAGAAGGCCUUCGGGUUGUAAAGUACUUUCAGCGGGGAGGAAGGUGUUGAGGUUAAUAACCUCAGCAAUUGACGUUACCCGCAGAAGAAGCACCGGCUAACUCCGUGCCAGCAGCCGCGGUAAUACGGAGGGUGCAAGCGUUAAACGGAAUUACUGGGCGUAAAGCGCACGCAGGCGGUCUGUCAAGUCGGAUGUGAAAUCCCCGGGCUCAACCUGGGAACUGCAUUCGAAACUGGCAGGCUAGAGUCUUGUAGAGGGGGGUAGAAUUCCAGGUGUAGCGGUGAAAUGCGUAGAGAUCUGGAGGAAUACCGGUGGCGAAGGCGGCCCCCUGGACAAAGACUGACGCUCAGGUGCGAAAGCGUGGGGAGCAAACA
rnacentral:rRNA from 1 species